CGCGAUACAGGGUGACAGCCCCGUACACAAAAAUGCACAUACUGUGAGCUCGAUGAGUAGGGCGGGACACGUGGUAUCCUGUCUGAAUAUGGGGGGACCAUCCUCCAAGGCUAAAUACUCCUGACUGACCGAUAGUGAACCAGUACCGUGAGGGAAAGGCGAAAAGAACCCCGGUGAGGGGAGUGAAAAAGAACCUGAAACCGUGUACGUACAAGCAGUGGGAGCCUCUUUAUGGGGUGACUGCGUACCUUUUGUAUAAUGGGUCAGCGACUUAUAUUCUGUAGCAAGGUUAACCGAAUAGGGGAGCCGAAGGGAAACCGAGUCUUAACUGGGCGUUAAGUUGCAGGGU
rnacentral:rRNA from 1 species